UGUGCAGGUAUAGCAGUGGUAAGCAACCCUAUUACUGGAGAUCAACCGUCCUGCUAACCUGCUAAUCAAGCUUUUCAUUGCUACCUAAAACAUUCAAGGCAGACCCAAACCCUGCAUUCAGACCAAGAUAUGCCAGUACAGACUUCGUAUAAUAUCUGAUUUGGGACAGAUGUCUGGUAGACUACCUCCAUUUGAAUGAUGAGGUACAACACGUCCUCCUAAGUUUAUUGAUAUAGACAGACAUUAAUGAACGUUUGUCUUCAUUAACUGUUUGAAAUGAUGUGAAUUUCUCCCUGUCACAGUGCAUUUACAGGCGUGAUCUGUCUUUCAUGUUGAUGGAUGUGAGAUUGAGGAGAAAAUGAUUAAGCAACACUUGAUCGAAGGGCAUCCACCAGCAUGAGGUCAAUGCAUCAAGUCCUUGCUUUAAGCAACAAUUGUGACCAUCUCAAUUACAAAGAGCACAACUUAACUUCAGAGCAGCAGGAAGUGAACCACUGAGGCUCACUGACCAAAUAUGGACAUCCUGAGAAAAAUAAUUUCAUGUGACCCUCUGCUUGUCUGUCUGCUUGUCUAAACCUCUGUCUGUCGAUUUAAAUGUUAAAUGUGCUUUGAAUUUAAAUGCGUCAGUCUUUCUAAAUUUCAAUGUAAUUUUGCUUUACUGGCAUCACAAAAACAGCACUUGUAUUUGUAUUGGCAUAGCAUUCACAGCUGAACUGAACUUAAAAAUUACUGUCUGUCUGUCUGUCUGUUGGUUUGUCUGUCGGUCUGUCUGAUUCACAUUCAAUGACUGCCUGUAGCUUUAUUGGGGAGGGUAUGUUGUUACGUUUUUUGCUUAACAACUUAAAAACAGAUUACCUGCAGAGGCCUGUAACUUGUUCAAAACCUUUAGUUCAUCCCUCAUAAGUAAAUAUAAUUAUUAAACUUAUAUAACAAAUCUUUUAAUCAUUUUAUCAUAAAAUUUUUUAUUGCUAUACUAACAUCUAUAUGAGUAUUAGUUAGUCAGUAUUUAUCAUUUCUGUAACAGACAGACAGACAGACAGACGGACAGACGUCUUAUAAAACAACAGUUUCCUGAUUGGGCCUGUAGGGGACGCUGCAGCUCUGUGUUUGUGUGUGAAUGGUUGAUAAAGCUCUUACACUGAGAGAGCAUUUUCAUUAUUUGUUUAGUGCAGAAAUUAAAACAAUAUAUCACACAACACAAAACAUGUGUUUUGAUAUAAAAUGAUAUAAAAGUUGUGGUGUCCAGUUUCUCAAGUUUUUUUCUGUAAUGAACAAGCACAAGUUUAAGCAAAUACAAAAACAA